GGAGGGGUGGCCGAGUCCGGUUGAAGGCGUCCGCCUCGAAAGCGGAUAAACGGGAAACUGUUUCGAGGGUUCGAAUCCCUCCCCCUCCGCCA
rnacentral:tRNA from 1 species